CCUACGGGAGGCAGCAGUAGGGAAUCUUUCACAAUGGGCGAAAGCCUGAUGGAGCAACGCCGCGUGCAGGAUGAAGGCCUUCGGGUUGUAAACUGCUUUUAUAAGCGAGAAAUAUGAUGGUAACUUAUGAAUAAGGAUCGGCUAACUACGUGCCAGCAGCCGUGGUCAUACGUAGGGUCCGAGCAUUAUCCGGAGUGACUGGGUGUAAAGAGUUGCGUAGGUGGGAUAAUAAGUAGCUAGUGAAAUCGGGUGGCUCAACCAUUCAGACUAUUAGCUAAACUGUUAAGCUCGAGACCGUUAGGGGUAACUGGAAUGUGUAGUGUAGGAGUGAAAUCCGUAGAUAUUAGAAAGAACACCGAUAGCGUAGGCAGGUUACUGGGACGGUUCUGACGCUGAGGCACGAAAGCGUAGGUAGCAAACGGGAUUAGAUACCCCUGUAGUC
rnacentral:rRNA from 1 species